rnacentral:lncRNA from 1 species
AUUUGUGUUCUGUUUUUUUGACUCCAGGCCUGGUGCCAUCUAGCUGCCCUAACACUACAGAGACAAGCUGCAGAAAAAGGAGUAAAGAGGCAUGCUGUGUGAGAACCAUAGAUAGUGUGAUGGAUGGAAGCAGGCAAUGUUGAGGAAGAGGAUGAUCUUCUGGAAAAGAAUCAGAAAAAAGAUGAAGAAAUG